UACGAGGGGUGCAAACGUUGCUCGGAAUCAUUGGGCGUAAAGGGUGCGUAGGCGGCGCGGUAAGUCGGGUGUGAAAUCUCGGAGCUUAACUCCGAAACUGCAUUCGAUACUGCCGUGCUUGAGGACUGGAGAGGAGACUGGAAUUUACGGUGUAGCGGUGAAAUGCGUAGAUAUCGUAAGGAAGACCAGUGGCGAAGGCGGGUCUCUGGACAGUUCCUGACGCUGAGGCACGAAGGUCAGGGGAGCAAACGGG
rnacentral:rRNA from 1 species